GGAGGUAGGCCUUCCGAGAUCACCUUUUGGGAGGAAAUUUCAAACCACCCUGCGGGGGCGCUGACUAUUCUGAGUCAGUUGAGAAAAGCACCUCUUGAGGUGCUUGG
rfam:Acidithrix ferrooxidans strain Py-F3 AXFE_contig000027, whole genome shotgun sequence.